CCCAUGUCGCCGCAAUCCAAACAUUUCACCCAAUCAUUCAAUCGGUAGGAGCGACGGGCGGUGUGUACAAAGGGCAUGUACAUAGUCAACGCGAGCUGAUGACUCGCGCUUAAUAGGAAUUCCUCGUUGAAGAACAACAAUUGCAAUGAUCUAUCCCCAUCACGAUGAAAUUUCAAAGAUUACCCGGGCCUGUCGGCCAAGGCUAUAAGCUCGUUGAAUACAUUAGUGUAGCACGUGUGCGGCCCAGAACAUCUAAGGGCAUCACAG